GCGAGAUAGCGAUAGGUGGGUGUAGGGAACACCUAAAAUUGAUUCAUAUCGUUGUAUGAUGUGAUGAUUUGUAAUACAAUUUGGCAACACCAAAAAAUCAUAAAUUGUGAACUUGUAAAAUUGAAACAGCUGUUUGGAGAAUGAUUUCAAAAAAUCUGAGCA